CAGCUUAUAACGAGAUGAUAAGAGAUGAAGUAAAUCAAUCCAUUAUCAUAAGUGGUGAGAUGCAUCAGAAGAAACAGGAGCAGAUGCAUCAGAAGGAGCAGGAGCAGCAGCAGCAGGAGUAUUAGUUUCAACAGC